CGGUAAUACGGAAGGUCCAGGCGUUAUCCGGAUUUAUUGGGUUUAAAGGGAGCGUAGGCUGGAGAUUAAGUGUGUUGUGAAAUGUAGACGCUCAACGUCUGAAUUGCAGCGCAUACUGGUUUCCUUGAGUACGCACAACGUUGGCGGAAUUCGUCGUGUAGCGGUGAAAUGCUUAGAUAUGACGAAGAACUCCGAUUGCGAAGGCAGCUGACGGGAGCGCAACUGACGCUUAAGCUCGAAGGUGCGGGUAUCGAACAGGAUUAGAUACCCUGGUAGUCCGCACAGUAAACGAUGGAUGCCCGCUGUUGGUACCUGGUAUCAGCGGCUAAGCGAAAGCAUUAAGCAUCCCACCUGGGGAGUACGCCGGCAACGGUGAAACUCAAAGGAAUUGACGGGGGCCCGCACAAGCGGAGGAACAUGUGGUUUAAUUCGAUGAUACGCGA
rnacentral:rRNA from 1 species